rnacentral:rRNA from 1 species
CCUACGGGGCGCAGCAGUGGGGAAUAUUGGACAAUGGGCGAAAGCCUGAUCCAGCCAUGCCGCGUGUGUGAAGAAGGCCUUCGGGUUGUAAAGCACUUUCAGUGGGGAAGAAAGCCUUGGGGCUAAUACCCUCGAGGAAGGACAUCACCCACAGAAGAAGCACCGGCUAACUCCGUGCCAGCAGCCGCGGUAAUACGGAGGGUGCGAGCGUUAAUCGGAAUUACUGGGCGUAAAGCGCGCGUAGGCGGUCUGAUAAGCCGGUUGUGAGAGCCCCGGGCUCAACCUGGGAACGGCAUCCGGAACUGUCAGGCUAGAGUGCAGGAGAGGAAGGUAGAAUUCCCGGUGUAGCGGUGAAAUGCGUAGAGAUCGGGAGGAAUACCAGUGGCGAAGGCGGCCUUCUGGACUGACACUGACGCUGAGGUGCGAAAGCGUGGGUAGCAAACAGGAUUAGAUACCCCUGUAGUC